AGAUUGAAAGGUUAAAUA
rnacentral:tRNA from 1 species